rnacentral:rRNA from 1 species
AUUGAACGCUGGCGGCAGGCCUAACACAUGCAAGUCGAGCGAGCGGCGGACGGGUGAGUAAUGUAUGGGGACUGCCCGAACGAGGGGGAUAACUACUGGAAACGGUGGCUAAUCCCGCAUACUAUCGGAUAACCCAUAGGGGAUUAUCUAGUAGGGGGGGUAAAGGUUCCCCUAGGCGACGCUCUCUAGCUGGUCUGAGAGGAUGAUGACCCACACUGGGACGGAGACACGGCCCAGACUCCUACGGAGGCAGCAGUGGGGAAUAUUGCACAAUGGGGGCAAGCCUGAUGCAGCCAUGCGGGGUGUAUGAAGAAGGCCUUAGGGUUGUAAAGUACUUUCAGCGUGGAGGCGUUACCCGCAGAAGAAGCACCGGCUAACUCCGUGCCAGCAGCCGCGGUAAUUC